AUUGAACGCUGGCGGCAUGCUUUACACAUGCAAGUCGGACGGCAGCACAGAGAAGCUUGCUUCUUGGGUGGCGAGUGGCGAACGGGUGAGUAACGCAUCGGAACGUACCGAGUAAUGGGGGAUAACUGUCCGAAAGGACAGCUAAUACCGCAUACGCCCUGAGGGGGAAAGCGGGGGAUCUUAGGACCUCGCGUUAUUCGAGCGGCCGAUGUCUGAUUAGCUGGUUGGCGGGGUAAAGGCCCACCAAGGCGACGAUCAGUAGCGGGUCUGAGAGGAUGAUCCGCCACACUGGGACUGAGACACGGCCCAGACUCCUACGGGAGGCAGCAGUGGGGAAUUUUGGACAAUGGGCGCAAGCCUGAUCCAGCCAUGCCGCGUGUCUGAAGAAGGCCUUCGGGUUGUAAAGGACUUUUGUCAGGGAAGAAAAGGGGCAUGUUAAUACCGUGCUCUGA
rnacentral:rRNA from 1 species